AGUUCUUCCUUCUUCCUUCUUACUUCUUCCUUCUUGGUCCAUAGUUAAUCUUUGGCUCUCAGAUUAUUUGCUUCUUCUUUUUUUCUUCUUUUGUUGUCAUUUUUCUUCUUUCUCUAUCUUUUACUUCCUCAUCUCUCCUCCAGUCACUCUCACCCUCAAAAACCAGAUCGAAAAACAUACCAAACACCAAACAACCAAAUCUGCAUCGUACCUUCGCCAUCCAUCUUCGCAAUCCGUUUCGUCAUCCUUCUCUCUUAAACUUUCCCAUCAUUACAACUCAUGCAAGCAAGUUAAUGCUGUUGAAAUCAAAUUCACACCAUCCAGAAUAUUACAUACUAGCAAGUAACAGAAGCUGCAGUUUGUCUCUUUCCUCAUCAAAAGUGAAGUUGAAGGCAUAUGCUGAUCGAGCUUCAUGAGCAAGAAGCAGUCGAAUAGACGUUCCAUAAUUAAAAGCAACUUCUUCAAAUGCAAGCAACUAAUGCAACAGUGACCUCACUCUUUUAGGCCGAAAUAGGAUUCCUCUGAUCACUAUUAGAGGCAAGAAAUCUGCAAGGAUAAAUAUACCUCCUCUGUGCUCCAUAGCUCAGCUUCUUCUUUUGGUAAAUAUUGAUGUAUUCUUUUUAAUUAUAAGUCAUCCUCGCUUGCAGAGAGAACAGUUGUAGUUUUAUUUUUCUACUAUAAAAUACCAGUUUUUGUAAUAUGUAAAAUCAAAACAGUUUCAA